rnacentral:rRNA from 1 species
CCUACGGGAGGCAGCAGUGGGGAAUCUUGCGCAAUGGCCUAACGGCUGACGCAGCGACGCCGCGUGAGGGAUGACGCUCUUCGGAGUGUAAACCUCUUUUGCCUGAGACGAAUUGUCAGCUUUAGCUGAUUUGACUGUAUCGGGUGAAUAAGCACCGGCUAACUCCGUGCCAGCAGCCGCGGUAAUACGGGGGGUGCGAGCGUUGUCCGGAAUCACUGGGCGUAAAGGGCGCGUAGGUGGCCUGAUAAGGGUGUGGUGAAAGUCCGGGGCUCAACCCCGGAUCUGCCGUGCCGACUGUUAGGCUAGAGUACUGUAGGGGCAGGCGGAAUUCCGGGUGUAGCGGUGGAAUGCGUAGAGAUCCGGAGGAAGACCGGUGGCGAAGGCGGCUUGCUGGGCAGUUACUGACACUGAGGCGCGACAGCGUGGGGAGCAAACAGGAUUAGAUACCCUGGUAGUCCACGCCGUAAACGAUGGGUACUAGGUGCCUGGGGGAGCGACCCCUUGGGUGCCGGCGCUAACGCAGGAAGUACCCCGCCUGGGGAGUACGGCCGCAAGGCUGAAACUCAAAGGAAUUGACGG